rnacentral:rRNA from 1 species
GAUGAACGUUGGCGGCGUGCCUAAUACAUGCAAGUCGAGCGAACAGACGAGGAGCUUGCUCCUUUGAUGUUAGCGGCGGACGGGUGAGUAACACGUGGGUAACCUACCUAUAAGACUGGGAUAACUUCGGGAAACCGGAGCUAAUACCGGAUAAUAUUUCGAACCGCAUGGUUCGAUAGUGAAAGAUGGCUUUGCUAUCACUUAUAGAUGGACCUGCGCCGUAUUAACUAGUUGGUAAGGUAACGGCUUACCAAGGCAACGAUACGUAGCCGACCUGAGAGGGUGAUCGGCCACACUGGAACUGAGACACGGUCCAGACUCCUACGGGAGGCAGCAGUAGGGAAUCUUCCGCAAUGGGCGAAAGCCUGACGGAGCAACGCCGCGUGAGUGAUGAAGGUCUUCGGAUCGUAAAACUCUGUUAUUAGGGAAGAACAAACGUGUAAGUAACUGUGCACGUCUUGACGGUACCUAAUCAGAAAGCCACGGCUAACUACGUGCCAGCAGUCGCGGUAAUACGUAGGUGGCAAGCGUUAUCCGGAAUUAUUGGGCGUAAAGCGCGCGUAGGCGGUUUUUUAAGUCUGAUGUGAAAGCCCACGGCUCAACCGUGGAGGGUCAUUGGAAACUGGAAAACUUGAGUGCAGAAGAGGAAAGUGGAAUUCCAUGUGUAGCGGUGAAAUGCGCAGAGAUAUGGAGGAACACCAGUGGCGAAGGCGACUUUCUGGUCUGUAACUGACGCUGAUGUGCGAAAGCGUGGGGAUCAAACAGGAUUAGAUACCCUGGUAGUCCACGCCGUAAACGAUGAGUGCUAAGUGUUAGGGGGUUUCCGCCCCUUAGUGCUGCAGCUAACGCAUUAAGCACUCCGCCUGGGGAGUACGACCGCAAGGUUGAAACUCAAAGGAAUUGACGGGGACCCGCACAUGCGGUGGAGCAUGUGGUUUAAUUCGAAGCAACGCGAAGAACCUUACCAAAUCUUGACAUCCUUUGACCCUUCUAGAGAUAGAAGUUUCCCCUUCGGGGGACAAAGUGACAGGUGGUGCAUGGUUGUCGUCAGCUCGUGUCGUAAGAUGUUGGGUUAAGUCCCGCAACGAGCGCAACCCUUAAGCUUAGUUGCCAUCAUUAAGUUGGGCACUCUAAGUUGACUGCCGGUGACAAACCGGAGGAAGGUGGGGAUGACGUCAAAUCAUCAUGCCCCUUAUGAUUUGGGCUACACACGUGCUACAAUGGACAAUACAAAGGGCAGCGAAACCGCGAGGUCAAGCAAAUCCCAUAAAGUUGUUCUCAGUUCGGAUUGUAGUCUGCAACUCGACUACAUGAAGCUGGAAUCGCUAGUAAUCGUAGAUCAGCAUGCUACGGUGAAUACGUUCCCGGGUCU